rnacentral:rRNA from 1 species
GAUGAACGCUGGCGGCGUGCCUAACACAUGCAAGUCGAGCGGACAGACGAGGCUUUUGCUCGGCUGACGAGAGGGGCGGGCGGGUGAGACACACGAGUAUACCCUACCUAUAAGUGUGAGAUCACUACGGGAAAGCGGAUCUAACACCGGAGAAUAUAUUGAAGCGUGUGGGUCAUUGGAGAAAGACGGCUUUGCUGUCACUUAUAGAUGGAUCCCGGCCGGUUGAGCUAGUUGGUAGGGUAACGGCUUACCAAGGCUACGAUGCGUAGCCGACCUGAGAGGGUGAUCGCCCACACUGGAAGUGAGACACGGUCAAGACUCCUACGGGAGGCAGCAGUCGGGAAUCGUCCGCAAUGGGCGAAAGCCUGACGGAGCAACGCCGCGUGUGUGAUGAAGGUCUUCGGAUCGUAAAGCUCUGUUAUUGGGGAAGAACAGAUGUGUACGUAGCUAUGGACGUCUUGACGGUACCUAAUCAAAAAGCACCGGCUAACUACGUG